rnacentral:sRNA from 1 species
AUUGGCCGGGAUCGCCCCCCGUCAGCGAGGAUUCGCCCACGGGGGCCGCAUCG